UACGUAGGUGGCAAGCGUUGUCCGGAUUUACUGGGCGUAAAGGGCGUGCAGGCGGUUUGUUAAGUGCAGGGUGAAAGCUCCCGGCUCAACUGGGAGAGGUCCUUGCAUACUGGCAAACCCGAGGGAGGCAGAGGAAAGUGGAAUUCCCGGUGUAGUGGUGAUAUGCGUAGAUAUCGGGAGGAACACCUGUGGCGAAGGCGGCUUUCUGGGCCUUACCUGACGCUGAGACGCGAAAGCGUGGGGAGCGAACCGG
rnacentral:rRNA from 1 species